rnacentral:rRNA from 1 species
AGAGUUUGAUCCUGGCUCAGGAUGAACGCUAGCGGCAGGCCUAACACAUGCAAGUCGAGGGAGAGGUUACUUUCGGGUAACCAAAACCGGCGCACGGGUGCGUAACGCGUAUACAAUCUGCCUUUCACAUAGGGAUAGCCCGAAGAAAUUUGGAUUAAUACCUAAUGGUAUAUAAGAGCGGCAUCGUUUUUAUAUUAAAGCUACGGUGGUGAAAGAUGAGUAUGCGUUCUAUUAGCUAGUUGGAGAGGUAACGGCUCCCCAAGGCGACGAUAGAUAGGGGUUCUGAGAGGGAUGUCCCCCACACUGGUACUGAGAUACGGACCAGACUCCUACGGGAGGCAGCAGUGAGGAAUAUUGGACAAUGGUCGGAAGACUGAUCCAGCCAUGCCGCGUGCAGGAAGACGGCCUUAUGGGUUGUAAACUGCUUUUGCAGGGGAAGAAUAAGGACUACGAGUAGUUUGAUGACGGUACUCUGCGAAUAAGCAUCGGCUAACUCCGUGCCAGCAGCCGCGGUAAUACGGAGGAUGCGAGCGUUAUCCGGAAUCAUUGGGUUUAAAGGGUCCGUAGGCGGGCUGAUAAGUCAGAGGUGAAAGCGCUUAGCUCAACUAAGCAACUGCCUUUGAAACUGUCAGUCUUGAAUGAUUGUGAAGUAGUUGGAAUGUGUAGUGUAGCGGUGAAAUGCUUAGAUAUUACACAGAACACCGAUAGCGAAGGCAUAUUACUAACAAUUUAUUGACGCUGAUGGACGAAAGCGUGGGGAGCGAACAGGAUUAGAUACCCUGGUAGUCCACGCU